UCCCACGGCUACCAUCUAUCUCUCCAUGAUUAGUCCACACAAAGUAAUUAUUUAUAAACCCCUUCCUAUAAAGAUGAAGUUUAACUUUCUCCGAUUUUUUAAACUUCAUACAAUCGCACAUGACACAAGGGCACCUAAUUUCUCCUUCACUUUGGUAUGGUGGAAGUGACAUUGCAUGUCUAAUAAAGUCAUCAACCCUUUCUACAAAAUUCUCCCGCAAUCCCCGCCGAUUAGGAUAAUUCCUAUUGUACAUCCAAGUACGAUGUUCCAUCUAUACAAAUAAAACAAGAACAAAUUAAUUUAUUCUACAAUUAUAAAUUAAUUAUAUAUUUUUAAGUUAAUUCAAGAUAAUAAUUGGCUCCUAUUACACCAAUUUAUAUCCUAAAAGUUUAAUUCAUAUCCAAAAGGUCCAAUUCAUAUCUUAAAAGUUUAAUUCAUAUCCUAAAAGUUCAAUUCACAUGAACAAAUUCUAAAAACUAAAAUUUCAAUUCAUAUCCUACGAGUUUAAACAUAAACUAACUAAACUAAAGAAAUUCAACCUAUACCCUAAAAGUUCGAUUCACAAGAACAAAUUAAUUUAUUCUACAAUUAUAAAUUAAUUAUAUCUUUUUUAGUUAAUUCAAGAUAAUUAUUUUUUCCUAAUUACACCAAUUUGUAUCCUAAAAGUUCAAUUCAUAUCCAAAAGGUCCAAUUCAUAUCUUAAAAGUUCAAUUCAUAUCCUAAAAGUUCAAUUCACAAGAACAAAUCCUAAAAACUAAAAUUUCAAUUCAUAUCCUAUGAGUUUAAACAUAAACUAACU
rnacentral:lncRNA from 1 species